ACAAAUGCUGAGGAAGAGAGAUUAUCAGUGUUCAGUGGUUCUGUUCAAUCCUAUAGAUCCUGAAAGAGAAAUCUAGUCCGCAGGUAUCAUAAAUCUGAGAAAAGAGGAUAUCAGUGGUCCGUUCAUAUGCUGAGGAAGACUUUAACAAAUGCUGGAUGGGAUGUCACACCCUUCCAGUCCACCGUAAGACCACAUCACACAUCCCUUUAUACUUAUGAGGCAUUACAGAAUUGACUCCAAAAUCUCUCGUAACAUAAUCUUCCAGUCCUAGCUGAAAUUAGAACCAUGAACUUUCAAUUAGCAUUCUUAACUGAAACUGUCAAGGGCUAUUUUCAUGAAAGCUAGAGAUAGCAAGUUGCAACAUUUACAUGUUGCUGCAUCCAGCCACCUAACAACAACGGCUAUAAAUUUCUUCCUGGUAGAAGAGCAUCUACAAUUGUAUACUUAUAUCCCAUUCAUUGGAAAGCAAAUAAUUAAAUUUAACCCCAUAACCUCGUACCCACAGCGACAUAAAAAGAUCAUAAUAUACGUUCUUCUUUCGUUUGUGACUAUACAAUCAUCCAAGGAAAAACAAAUGCAAGACUAAUAGAGUAGGCUACUUAAACGGUGGGGAGAGAAUUGAUACAGAAACAUCUAACAUUUGUCAAACCCAACAAAACAAAACAUAGGACAAUGCCAUUAAGAUGAUAA
rnacentral:lncRNA from 7 species